AUCCAUCUGACGAGUUCUGAAUGGGACGAAACGCGCAUCCUGGAU
rnacentral:hammerhead_ribozyme from 1 species